rnacentral:lncRNA from 1 species
UAAACUCAGUUAGUUACAAAUAACUAAUCUUCCCUGAGGCCCUCAAAAAGAUAGUAAUAACCUAUAAGUAAAUGGAUAAAAUAGUUUUUGAUAUCAAAAAUUAUAAUUGUAUUGAUUCAAAAUUAGACCUGGCAAUAUCCUGAAUAUGGCACUUUUAUCAUUAAACAAAAUGAAAACCAACAAACUGUCAAAGACCCAUACAC